rnacentral:rRNA from 1 species
UACAGAGGGGGCUAGCGUUGUUCGGAAUUACUGGGCGUAAAGGGCGCGUAGGCGGCCCGCUAAGUCGAACGUGAAAUCCCCGGGCUCAACCCGGGAACUGCGUCCGAUACUGGCAGGCUUGAAUCCGGGAGAGGGAUGUGGAAUUCCAGGUGUAGCGGUGAAAUGCGUAGAGAUCCGGAAGAACACCGGUGGCGAAGGCGGCCUGCUGGGGUGGAGCUGACGCUGAGGCGCGACAGCGUGGGGAGCAAACAGG